AUGGAGGCUUUGUCACUGCGGGGAGGAGUCCGUUUUGCUACUCUACGAGGCUUCCAGCAAGUGAUUAUAGACGUUGAUUGUCUGGAGCUGGUGAUGCUCUGGGAAACUCGCCACAACUCUCGUUCUAUUGUGGCUCCAGUCUUGUUAGAAAUAGGGGAGCUUAGUUCUUUUUUCACUACUUUUGAUGUUAUUCAUGUAAGCAGGUCAGCAAACUUACCAGCACAUCUCUGUGCAAAAUAUGCAUGCACACUGAAUGUGACUGAAAGAUGGACCGAGACCCCUAGCAUCCUUGUGACCAGUCUACUGGCUGAUUGUCCAAGGAAUGCUCUUGCUUAA
rnacentral:rRNA from 1 species